rnacentral:rRNA from 1 species
CCUACGGGUGGCAGCAGUGGGGAAUAUUGGACAAUGGGGGAAACCCUGAUCCAGCGACGCCGCGUGAGUGAAGAAGUAUUUCGGUAUGUAAAGCUCUAUCAGCAGGGAAGAAAAUGACGGUACCUGACUAAGAAGCCCCGGCUAACUACGUGCCAGCAGCCGCGGUAAUACGUAGGGGGCAAGCGUUAUCCGGAUUUACUGGGUGUUAAGGGAGCGUAGGCGGUGCAUCAAGGCUGAUGUGAAAUGGCGUGGCCGAGCCCCGGGAUUGCAGUUGAAACUGUUGAACUGGAGUACAGUAGAGGUGGGCGGAAGUCGUGGUGUAGGGGUGAGAUGCUUAGAGAGCACGAGGAAGGCAGA